GACGAACGCUGGCGGCGUGCUUAACACAUGCAAGUCGAACGGAAAGGCCCUGCUUUUGUGGGUUGCUCGAGUGGCGAACGGGUGAGUAACACGUGAGUAACCUGCCCUUGACUUUGGGAUAACUUCAGGAAACUGGGGCUAAUACCGGAUAGGAGCUCCUGCUGCAUGGUGGGGGUUGGAAAGUUUCGGCGGUUGUGGAUGGACUCGCGGCGUAUCAGCUUGUUGGUGUGGUAGUGGCUUACCAAGGCUUUGACGGGUAGCCGGCCUGAGAGGGUGACCGGCAACAUUGGGACUGAGAUACGGCACAGACUACUACGGGAGGCAGCAGUGGGGAAUAUUGCACAAUGGGCGGAAGCCUGAUGCAGCAACGCCGCGUGCGGGAUGACGGCCUUCGGGUUGUAAACCGCUUUCGCCUGUGACGAAGAGUGAGUGACGGUAAUGGGUAAAGAAGCACCGGCUAACUACGUG
rnacentral:rRNA from 1 species